rnacentral:rRNA from 1 species
CAUGCAAGUCGAACGAGGAUGUACCCUUCGGGAUAUAAGCCGAGUGGCAUAAGGGUGAGCAAUGCAUAGAUUACCUACCUUUAGGAUAAGGACAACUUUGUGAAAACGGAGCUAAUACUUAAUAAUACAAAGGAAAAUAAUUUUCUUUUGUCAAAGGGAGGGUAGCAAUACCUUUCGCCUAGAGAGGGGUUUAUGUCCUAUCAGCUUGUUGGUGGGGUAAUAGCCUACCAAGGCGAAGACGGGUAGCCGGUUUAAGAGGAUGGUCGGCCACACUGGGACUGAGACACUGCCCAGACUUCUACGGAAGGCUGCAGUCGAGAAUCUUUCGCAAUGCCCGAAAGGGUGACGAAGCGACGCCGCGUGGGUGAAGAAGGCCUUCGGGUUGUAAAACCCUGUCAGGAGUUAUGAAAUGUAAGUGCGCUAAUAUCGUGCUUAUUUGACAAAGGCUCCAAAGGAAGCCACGGCUAACUCUGUGCCAGCAGCCGCGGUAAUACAGAGGUGGCGAGCGUUGUUCGGAAUUAUUGGGCGUAAAGAGCACGUAGGUGGGUUUGCAAGUCAGAUGUGAAAGCCUUCUGUUCAACGGGAGAAUUGCAUCUGAAACUGCUAAUCUUGAGUGUAGGAGGGGAGAAUGGAACUUCUGGUGGAGCGGUGAAAUGCGUAGAUAUCAGAAGGAACGCCGGCGGCGAAAGCGAUUCUCUGGCCUAUUACUGACACUCAGUGUGCGAAAGCUAGGGGAGCAAACGGGAUUAGAUACCCCGGUAGUCCUAGCCGUAAACGAUGGGCACUAAGUAGAGGGGAUUACCUAUGUUCUCUCUGCCGUAGCUAACGCAUUAAGCGCCCCGCCUGGGGAGUACGGCCGCAAGGCUAAAACUCAAAAGAAUUGACGGGGGCUCGCACAAGCGGUGGAGCAUGUGGCUUAAUUCGAUGCAACGCGAAAAACCUUACCGGGGCUUGACAUGAUAGAAGUAGGAACCUGAAAGGGGGACGAACGGUAUCCAGUCCGUAGCUAUUACAGGUGUUGCAUGGCUGUCGUCAGCUCGUGUCGUGAGACGUUGGGUUAAGUCCCCUAACGAGCGAAACCCUUGUUUUUAGUUACCAGCGGGUUAUGCCGGGUACUCUAGAAAGACUGCCGUCGUCAAGACGGAGGAAGGUGGGGAUGACGUCAAGUCAUCAUGGCCCUUAUGCCCCGGGCUGCACACGUGCUACAAUGGUCGGUACAGACGGAAGCGAAGCCGAGAGGUGAAGCGAAUCCUAAAAAGCCGAUCUCAGUUCGGAUUGGAGGCUGAAAUUCGCCUCCAUGAAGUUGGAAUCGCUAGUAAUCGCGGAUCAGCAAUGUCGCGGUGAAUAUGUUCCCGAGCCUUGUACACACCGCCCGUCAAGCCACCCAAGCAGGAUGCACCCGAAAACAUUAUAUCUAACCAGGGCAACUUGGAGGAAAAUGUUGAAGGAGUGUUUUGUGAGGAGGACUAAGUCGUAACAAGGUAGUCGUAGGAGAACCUGCGGCUGGAUCACCUCCUU